rnacentral:rRNA from 1 species
GACGAACGCUGGCGGCGUGCUUAACACAUGCAAGUCGAGCGGUAAGGCCCUUUCGGGGGUACACGAGCGGCGAACGGGUGAGUAACACGUGGGUGACCUGCCCUUAGCUCUGGGAUAAGCCUGGGAAACUAGGGUCUAAUACCGGAUAUGACUCCAUGACGCAUGUUGUGGGGUGGAAAGCCUUGUGCGGCUAGGGAUGGGGCCCGCGGCCUAUCAGCUUGUUGGUGGGGUGAUGGCCACCAAGGCGACGACGGGUAGCCGGCCUGAGAGGGCGACCGGCCACACUGGGACUGAGACACGGCCCA